rnacentral:rRNA from 1 species
GACGAACGCUGGCGGCGUGCUUAACACAUGCAAGUCGAACGGUGAAAGCGGAGCUUGCUCCGCUGGAUCAGUGGCGAACGGGUGAGUAACACGUGGGCAACCUGCCCCUGACUUCGGGAUAACUCCUCGAAAGAGGUGCUAAUACCGGAUACGAAUCCUGCAGGCAUCUGCGGGAUUGGAAAGUUUUUCGGUCAGGGAUGGGCCCGCGGCCUAUCAGCUUGUUGGUGAGGUAGUGGCUCACCAAGGCUACGACGGGUAGCCGGCCUGAGAGGGCGACAGGCCACACUGGGACUGAGACACGGCACAGACUCCUACGGGAGGCAGCAGUGGGGAAUAUUGCGCAGUGGGCGAAAGCCUGACGCAGCAACGCCGCGUGCGGGAUGACGGCCUUCGGGUUGUAAACCGCUUUCAGCAGGGAAGAAGCCGCAAGGUGACGGUACCUGCAGAAGAAGCACCGGCUAACUACGUGCCAGCCGCCGCGGUAA